rnacentral:rRNA from 1 species
UGCUUGGGAAUCUACCUAGUAGUGGGGGACAACAGUUGGAAACGACUGCUAAUACCGCAUACGCCCUACGGGGGAAAGGGGGAGUCUUCGGACCUCUUGCUAUUGGUAUGAGCCCAACGUCGGAUUAGCUAGUUGGUGGGGUAAGUGGCCCACCAAGGCGACGAUCCGUAGCUGGUUUGAGAGGAUGAUCAGCCACACUGGGACUGAGACACGGCCCAGACUCCUACGGGAGGCAGCAGUGGGGAAUAUUGCACAAUGGGCGAAAGCCUGAUGCAGCCAUGCCGCGUGUGUGAAGAAGGC